AAGGCUUUAGCUUACCUAAAGCACCUGUUUUGCACACAGAAGAUGUAGGAUCAAACCUGCAAGCCUUA
rnacentral:tRNA from 1 species